GUAUGGAGAGAAAGAGAGAAACCAAUCCAGCAAUUCAUCACGCAGAAGGAGGUCAUAUUUCGAGAUGCAAGGAUGACACAUGGCUGUAGUUUACAGGAAGGAAUUAGCGGAUCCAUCCUUUUAAGGAGGAAAGAAAUACAAUACACCAUUCCCAUAAUAGUCAAUGGUUCUGGUCAUCCUUUCAGGUGAUACAUAACCAAAGCUUCUGAGGUUUCAGAAGUAUUGACUUGUUCCAAUCAAGAAUAAGGAAACCACUUAUACCUACUAGAUUUUUAACAGUACAGCUGAUCGUAUGGAGAGAAAGAGAGAAAUAAAGCAACAGGAUUGGCUCUUAGAAGCGGUAAGCAACAUUUGAUGAAGGAAACAGGCAGCGUGGACAGUAUUCAAGACACAAUGUUUAAAAGUUGCUGCUGGGAUGGAAGCAAAGAAGAAAGCCCUGGAGACGGGUUAGUGCUGGGACACAGGCACUAUCCUGGAGGGGCCUGGGACAGGGUGUUUAACCAUAGUGACCAGUGGGUCCUUUCCCCACUGUGGUCCUGGCUCGCAUGCACAGGGUGAAACCGAUCGCCAUGUUUGGGGUCAGGAAGGAAUUUUCCUCCAGGGCAGAUUGGCCAGAGACCCUGGAGGUUUUUCGCCUUCCUCUGGGGCAUCGAGCAGGGACCAGCCCUUAGGGCCAUUUAGGAACAGACAUAAUAAAAUCAAUCAGAGAGAA